UACGAAGGGGGCUAGCGUUGCUCGGAAUUACUGGGCGUAAAGCGCGCGUAGGCGGGUCGUUAAGUCGGGGGUGAAAUCCUGGAGCUCAACUCCAGAACUGCCUUCGAUACUGGCGAUCUUGAGUCCGGGAGAGGUGAGUGGAACUCCGAGUGUAGAGGUGAAAUUCGUAGAUAUUCGGAAGAACACCAGUGGCGAAGGCGGCUCACUGGCCCGGUACUGACGCUGAGGUGCGAAAGGCGUGGGGAGCGAACAGG
rnacentral:rRNA from 1 species